AACCAUAGAAACCUGCGGAGUACCUGCGGAGGGAUCAUUAUAGUAUAUGGAAUCUCCAUUCUAUAAACCCACUCUGCGUAUCUUGUAACUGUUGCUUCCAUAGGACUUGGUUCCGCCACACCGGCUUCACGGCUGGUGAGCGCCCAUGGAAGGAGAAACAAAACUCUUCUUUGAAAUGUAGUCAGUCUGAACAAGUUUUUAUAAACGUUAAAACUUUUAACAAUGGAUCUCAGAUCGGAA
rnacentral:misc_RNA from 1 species